AAGAGCAAUUGACGGUACCUGGAGAAGAAGCACCGGCCAACUACGUGCCAGCAGCCGCGGUAACACGUAGGGUGCGAGCGUUGUCCGGAAUUAUUGGGCGUAAAGAGCUCGUAGGCGGUGUGUCGCGUCGGCCGUGAAAACUUGGGGCUUAACUCUGAGCGUGCGGUCGAUACGGGCAUCACUUGAGUUCGGCAGGGGAGACUGGAAUUCCUGGUGUAGCGGUGAAAUGCGCAGAUAUCAGGAGGAACACCGGUGGCGAAGGCGGGUCUCUGGGCCGAUACUGACGCUGAGGAGCGAAAGCGUGGGGAGCGAACAGGAUUAGAUACCCUGGUAGUCCACGCCGUAAACGUUGGGCGCUAGGUGUGGGGACCAUUCCACGGUUUCUGUGCCGCAGCUAACGCAUUAAGCGCCCCGCCUGGGGAGUACGGCCGCAAGGCUAAAACUCA
rnacentral:rRNA from 1 species